rnacentral:misc_RNA from 1 species
GAUGAAGAACGUAGCGAAAUGCGAUAAGUAAUGUGAAUUGCAGAAUUCAGUGAAUCAUCGAAUCUUUGAACGCACAUUGCGCCCGUCAGUAUUCUGGCGGGCAUGCCUGUUCGAGCGUCAUUACGCCCCUCAAGUCCCCUGUGGACUUGGUGUUGGGGAUCGGCGAGGCUGGUUUUCCAGCACAGCCGUCCCUUAAAUUAAUUGGCGGUCUCGCCGUGGCCCUCCUCUGCGCAGUAGUAAAACACUCGCAACAGGAGCCCGGCGCGGUCCACUGCCGUAAAACCCCCCAACUUUUUAUAGUUGACCUCUAAUCAGGUAGGACUACCCGCUGAACUUAAGCAUAUCAAUAAGCGGAGGA